rnacentral:rRNA from 1 species
UACGUAGGCAGCAAGCGUUGUUCGGAGUUACUGGGCGUAAAGGGGGUGUAGGCGGUUGUUUAAGUUUGGUGUGAAAUCUCCCGGCUCAACUGGGAGGGUGCGCCGAAUACUGAAUGACUAGAGUGCGGGAGAGGAAAGUGGAAUUCCUGGUGUAGCGGUGAAAUGCGUAGAUAUCAGGAGGAACACCGGUGGUGUAGACGGCUUUCUGGACCGUAACUGACGCUGAGACACGAAAGCGUGGGUAGCAAACAGG